CGUAGAGUUUGAUCCUGGCUCACGAUGAACGCUGGCGGCGUGCCUAACACAUGCAAGUCGAGCGAAGCGCUUGAAUACGAUCUUCGGAUGAAGAUCUUGCGACUGAGCGGCGGACGGGUGAGUAACGCGUGGGCAACCUGCCUUACACAGGGGGAUAACAGUUAGAAAUGACUGCUAAUACCGCAUAAGACCACAAAACUGCAUGGUUUUGUGGUAAAAACUCCGGUGGUGUAAGAUGGGCCCGCGUCUGAUUAGGUAGUUGGUGGGGUAACGGCCCACCAAGCCGACGAUCAGUAGCCGACCUGAGAGGGUGACCGGCCACAUUGGGACUGAGACACGGCCCAGACUCCUACGGGAGGCAGCAGUGGGGAAUAUUGCACAAUGGGGGAAACCCUGAUGCAGCGACGCCGCGUGAGCGAUGAAGUAUUUCGGUAUGUAAAGCUCUAUCAGCAGGGAAGAAGAUGACGGUACCUGACUAAGAAGCCCCGGCUAACUACGUG
rnacentral:rRNA from 1 species